rnacentral:lncRNA from 1 species
CCGAUCCUUCUGAUUUGGCUAUAAUGCAUAGACUGCAGCUGGCAUGAGCUUCGACAUCAUUUAAUCCCUGUGUUGUAUGGCUUUGGUUUCUUUUAACACAACUUUUGAUGUUGUAUUUAGAUAUGCUUCAUGUUCAUGUGGCAAGAAAUGCAGCACUUUUCUUAUAAAUAUAUCUAGCCAUUUACAGUUAAAGUUUAUCUCCUGACAAUCAUUAAAGAUGUCUUAUAGUCAAAUUAGCAAACCAGUCAAUUUUGCAGAAUGCAGAUUACUUCUUCUUGUAAUUGAC